CUCCCCAUAGCUCAACGGAUAGAGCGGGAGCCUUCUAAGCUCUAGAUGGGGGUUCGAUUCCCUCUGGGGAGA
rnacentral:tRNA from 1 species